rnacentral:rRNA from 1 species
GACGAACGCUGGCGGCGUGCUUAACACAUGCAAGUCGAACGGUAAGGCCCUUCGGGGUACACGAGUGGCGAACGGGUGAGUAACACGUGGGUGAUCUGCCCUGCACUUCGGGAUAAGCCUGGGAAACUGGGUCUAAUACCGGAUAGGACCCUGGGAUGCAUGUCCUGGGGUGGAAAGCUUUUGCGGUGUGGGAUGGGCCCGCGGCCUAUCAGCUUGUUGGUGGGGUGAUGGCCUACCAAGGCGACGAAGGGUAGUCGGCCUGAGAGGGUGACCGGCCACACUGGGACUGAGAUACGGCCCAGACUCCUACGGGAGGCAGCAGUAGGGAAUAUUGCACAAUGGGCGCAAGCCUGAUGCAGCGACGCCGCGUGAGGGAUGACGGCCUUCGGGUUGUAAACCUCUUUCAGCACCGACGAAGCGCAAGUGACGGUAGGUGCAGAAGAAGGACCGGCCAACUACGUGCCAGCCGCCGCCGUAA